AGAGUCGGCUAGGCAAUCGCCUUUGAAUUUAUUCAUGGGAGGAAAGUCCGGGCUCCAUAGGGCAUAGUGCCAGGUAACUCCUGGGGGGCGCGAGCCUACGGAAAGUGCAGCAGAAAAUAUACCGCCUAAGUUCAGCGGACUCUCCUUUGGGGGAUAUGUUGGAACGGUAAGGUUGAAAUGGUGCGGUAAGAGCGCACCGCGCGCGUGGUAACACGUCGUGGCAUGGUAAACCCCGCUUGGAGCAAGACCAAAUAGAGACCUUAUAGUGCUGCCCGCAUUGGGUCUGGGUAGGUUGCUCGAGGUAUGCAGUGAUGCAUACCCUAGAUGAAUGAUUGUUCUCGACAGAACCCGGCUUAUCGGCCGGCUCUGCUC
rnacentral:RNase_P_RNA from 1 species